CACAUGACCUCAGCUUAUAUAAUCUCCCUGUCACUGAACAGCUGGAACCCAAGGCUUCGGAAGAUGAGUCAGCAGCCCCAGUGGCAAAUAGGACCCAGCAAGGGGAGGGAGCCCCGCAGAGGCUUCUAGGACCCGAGCCCCUCCGAGGAGAGCCAUAUUCUAAUUGCCCUGGGGUUGAACAGCACCAGCCGAGUCCAAUGGAUCCAGCCCUGCCUUGUCAAGUUCUGAAUGUUCUGGGAGGCACCAGCGUUUCUAUCUCCUGUGCCACUUCACAGAUGGCACAACAAAGCCAAGACUCCCUAAGUCAUAUUAUCAAAGUUGCUCUCUCAAGACCUUUAGUUAUGCAAGCUUCAAGGUCCUGCCCCUAUUCCUGAACCCCUGCUGCAUUUGUCUGGAUCAGCCCUCCAAGCAGUAUUUCUUGCUGUGGCAUGCUGUUGUUUUCAAAAUGUAUUUGUCCUAGGAGUAGGGAGGGGUACAUAAGGUAAUGGAGGAGACACAGCAUCCAGCCCUUCUGCCCAUAUGCUUGCCUGUCCAUCUGUCCACCCGCCAUCUACCCGUGUAUCCACCCACCCACCACCCACACAUCCAUCCAUCCAUUCAUCCCUGCAAUCAGCAGGUCAGCCCCCAUUGUGGGAGGCACGUGGCAGGGGAUCUAGAGAUAGGAUUUCUUUUUCCUCCUCUGAGAGCUUGCCACCUAAUGGGCACACUAAUAACUACAGAAAAGGCAGAUGUCGUCAGUGCCCCAAGAGAGGCGUGUGCGGGCAUUAGUUGGCGAGCGAGCCCAUGCCAGCCCUUGGUCAGUCUCCAGCAGAGCCUCUUCCCUCAUUCCAGCUGAGGCAGGGCUGGAAUAGAGGUAUUGGAUUGUCUCAAGCCCUAGAUAAAAAUUUCUCCCCUACUUUC
rnacentral:lncRNA from 1 species